UGUGAGCUCGAUGAGUAGGGCGGGACACGUGGUAUCCUGUCUGAAUAUGGGGGGACCAUCCUCCAAGGCUAAAUACUCCUGACUGACCGAUAGUGAACCAGUACCGUGAGGGAAAGGCGAAAAGAACCCCGGCGAGGGGAGUGAAAAAGAACCUGAAACCGUGUACGUACAAGCAGUGGGAGCACGCUUAGGCGUGUGACUGCGUACCUUUUGUAUAAUGGGUCAGCGACUUAUAUUCUGUAGCAAGGUUAACCGAAUAGGGGAGCCGAAGGGAAACCGAGUCUUAACUGGGCGUUAAGUUGCAGGGUAUAGACCCGAAACCCGGUGAUCUAGCCAUGGGCAGGUUGAAGGUUGGGUAACACUAACUGGAGGACCGAACCGACUAAUGUUGAAAAAUUAGCGGAUGACUUGUGGCUGGGGGUGAAAGGCCAAUCAAACCGGGAGAUAGCUGGUUCUCCCCGAAAGCUAUUUAGGUAGCGCCUCGUGAAUUCAUCUCCGGGGGUAGAGCACUGUUUCGGCAAGGGGGUCAUCCCGACUUACCAACCCGAUGCAAACUGCGAAUACCGGAGAAUGUUAUCACGGGAGACACACGGCGGGUGCUAACGUCCGUCGUGAAGAGGGAAACAACCCAGACCGCCAGCUAAGGUCCCAAAGUCAUGGUUAAGUGGGAAACGAUGUGGGAAGGCCCAGACAGCCAGGAUGUUGGCUUAGAAGCAGCCAUCAUUUAAAGAAAGCGUAAUAGCUCACUGGUCGAGUCGGCCUGCGCGGAAGAUGUAACGGGGCUAAACCAUGCACCGAAGCUGCGGCAGCGACGCUUAUGCGUUGUUGGGUAGGGGAGCGUUCUGUAAGCCUGCGAAGGUGUGCUGUGAGGCAUGCUGGAGGUAUCAGAAGUGCGAAUGCUGACAUAAGUAACGAUAAAGCGGGUGAAAAGCCCGCUCGCCGGAAGACCAAGGGUUCCUGUCCAACGUUAAUCGGGGCAGGGUGAGUCGACCCCUAAGGCGAGGCCGAAAGGCGUAGUCGAUGGGAAACAGGUUAAUAUUCCUGUACUUGGUGUUACUGCGAAGGGGGGACGGAGAAGGCUAUGUUGGCCGGGCGACGGUUGUCCCGGUUUAAGCGUGUAGGCUGGUUUUCCAGGCAAAUCCGGAAAAUCAAGGCUGAGGCGUGAUGACGAGGCACUACGGUGCUGAAGCAACAAAUGCCCUGCUUCCAGGAAAAGCCUCUAAGCAUCAGGUAACAUCAAAUCGUACCCCAAACCGACACAGGUGGUCAGGUAGAGAAUACCAAGGCGCUUGAGAGAACUCGGGUGAAGGAACUAGGCAAAAUGGUGCCGUAACUUCGGGAGAAGGCACGCUGAUAUGUAGGUGAAGUCCCUUGCGGAUGGAGCUGAAAUCAGUCGAAGAUACCAGCUGGCUGCAACUGUUUAUUAAAAACACAGCACUGUGCAAACACGAAAGUGGACGUAUACGGUGUGACGCCUGCCCGGUGCCGGAAGGUUAAUUGAUGGGGUCAGCGCAAGCGAAGCUCUUGAUCGAAGCCCCGGUAAACGGCGGCCGUAACUAUAACGGUCCUAAGGUAGCGAAAUUCCUUGUCGGGUAAGUUCCGACCUGCACGAAUGGCGUAAUGAUGGCCAGGCUGUCUCCACCCGAGACUCAGUGAAAUUGAACUCGCUGUGAAGAUGCAGUGUACCCGCGGCAAGACGGAAAGACCCCGUGAACCUUUACUAUAGCUUGACACUGAACAUUGAGCCUUGAUGUGUAGGAUAGGUGGGAGGCUU
rnacentral:rRNA from 1 species